UACAGGGGGGUGCAAACGUUGCUCGGAAUCAUUGGGCGUAAAGCGCACGUAGGCGGUUCGUUAUGUCGGAUGUGAAAGCCCUUGGCUUAACCGAGGAAGUGCAUCCGAAACUGGCGAGCUAGAGUACGAAAGAGGAUCGUGGAAUUCCCGGUGUAGAGGUGAAAUUCGUAGAUAUCGGGAGGAACACCGGUGGCGAAGGCGGCGAUCUGGGUCGAUACUGACGCUGAGGUGCGAAAGCGUGGGGAGCAAACAGG
rnacentral:rRNA from 1 species